rnacentral:ncRNA from 2 species
CCAAAAAAUGGGGAUGGGGUUCCCCCGAAACCGCCCUUAAGGGCUGAUGACUCCUGCCAGGCG